rnacentral:rRNA from 1 species
UUAAAUUGAAGAGUUUGAUCAUGGCUCAGAUUGAACGCUGGCGGCAGGCCUAACACAUGCAAGUCGAACGGUAACAGGAAGCAGCUUGCUGCUUGGCUGACGAGUGGCGGACGGGUGA